CUAACAUCAUAGCCUCCCACUACUUUACUUCUUUUUAUAUAAACUAAAAUAUUCUUACAAUCUAGUAAAGAUGAUUAAAAAAUUCCUAAGAGCAAUAAAUAUGUACCGUGAGGGAACAAUGAAAUAAAAAUGAAAAUCUCAAGCAUAAAAAAGUAGAGCUUAUCUCUCGUACCUUUUGCAUCAUGAUUUAACUAGUUUAAGUAAGCAAAAAGUCUUAAAGUUUACCUUCCCGAAACUAAGUGAGCUACUCCAGGGCAGCAUCGCAAACCCAUCUGCGUUGUAAAGCAGUGGGAAGACCCUGAAGUAGUGGUGACAGACCUAACGAACUUAGUGAUAGCUGGUUGCUUGAGAAAAGAAUAUUAGUUCAACCUAAAGUUACUUAUAAUAACCCUAAAUAAAUACAUUACUUUAGAGUAAUUCAAAUAGGGUACAGCCUAUUUGAAACAGGAUACAACCUUAACCAAUGGGUAACCUAUUUCCUUAAUUUAAUCAAGUAGGCCUAAGAGCAGCCAUCUUCUAAAAAGCGUCAAAGCUUAUUUCUAUCUACCUUAAUACCCCCACUCUCACUCACCCCUUCUCCCCCGCCCAUCAAGCACUUCUAUAAAUGUAUAGAACCUAUUAUGUUAAAACUAGUAACAAGAAGCAACCCUUCUCUUCAAUGUAAAUAUACUUCAGCAAGGACCCACCACUGAUAAUUAAUAACAAAAGUAACAACCUCUUCUAGAAAAAUUUACUUUACCCCCUAUUAACCUAACACAAGCACAUUUCAAGAAAGAUAAAAAGAAAAAGAAGGAACUCGGCAAACAUCAGCCCCGCCUGUUUACCAAAAACAUCGCCUCUUGAUUAACUAUAAGAGGUCUAGCCUGCCCAGUGACACUAGUUCAACGGCCGCGGUAUCCUAACCGUGCGAAGGUAGCGUAAUCACUUGUUUUUUAAAUAAAGACUUGUAUGAAAGGCUUCACGAGGGCCUAACUGUCUCCUUUUUCUUAUCAGUGAAACUGAUCUCCCCGUGAAGAAGCGGGGAUUUUUUUAUAAGACGAGAAGACCCUAUGGAGCUUUAAACUUUACAACACCUGCUUCCUAUUGCUAUUUUCAGAAAACUACACCCACAGCAACCUGUUUGUGAGCUUUCGGUUGGGGCGACCCCGGAGAACAACUUAUCCUCCGCAAUGAAUAGACACCUCUUUAGUUAAAAGUCACAUCUUAAUACACCAGAAAACUGACAUAUAUUGACCCAAAAUUUUGAUCAACGAACUAAGUUACCCUAGGGAUAACAGCGCUAUCCACUUUGAAAGUUCCUAUCGACAAGUGGGCUUACGACCUCGAUGUUGGAUCAGGGUAUCCUAGUGGUGCAGCCGCUACUAAGGGUUCGUUUGUUCAACGAUUAAAACCCUACGUGAUCUGAGUUCAGACCGGAGUAAUCCAGGUCAGUUUCUAUCUAUAAAGAACUCUCCCUAGUACGAAAGGACCGAGAGAGUAUGGUCAAUACUCUCAGUAAACCAUCNNNNNCUUUUGACUUACACUUAAAACUUAACCUCUUAUAUUACUUAAA
rnacentral:rRNA from 1 species